rnacentral:rRNA from 1 species
UACGGGAGGCAGCAGUGAGGAAUAUUGGUCAAUGGGCGUAAGCCUGAACCAGCCAAGUAGCGUGGAGGAUGACGGCCCUACGGGUUGUAAACUCCUUUUAUGCGGGGAUAAAGUGCAGCACGUGUGCUGUUUUGCAGGUACCGCAUGAAUAAGGACCGGCUAAUUCCGUGCCAGCAGCCGCGGUAAU